GCACACAUGGACUCCUGGCCAGGCAGGCCGGGGCUGGCUGAGUUUCUGCUGGAAAGCUGCGCCGUGCCUCUCACAAACACCAGAUGCUCCAGGCCGGGGAAACAAAGAGCACUUUCCUGUAAACAACAGCACACUGCAGCCCUCUCCCAGGCACCAACAAUGGGAACUGCAAAACACAUGAAAAGAGUUGCAAGUUGCAGGGGUCACAACGAGCUCUUCUGGGAAGGAAGACAAGGCUGGAGGAGCUGAUGGAGAACAACAACAACCAUAAAAAGUUAAAUAACUUGGGGCUUCCCCAGCAGUGCCUGGGGAGUGGGAACAACAGAUCCUAGAGGAAAUGCUUUGAGACUGCCAGAGAUUUGGUCAGCUCUCAGAGCCCAGAGUGAAUAUUUGGGCAUCACACAGUGCAAGAAGAAAUAUUUUCCUUGCUGCUGCAGAUCUUAGAAUGAGAUUAACGAGCGUGAGUAAUAAGGAACAUGUUGCAAUGCUGUUACAAAAGCAAGGACAGGGUCUCAGGUGAGUCUGUCACACAGGAAAUUCAGUGAGAGGGGAUCAGAAAUCCCAGCUUGUCUGUCCUGGAGGGCACAGGUAAAUAACAGGCAACUCCUUUAAACAAUUCCACAUUUAUUGUCCCCAAACUGGCAGCUCAGACACACAGAUCUCUCCUGUUUGAGGAUAAAUCUGCAGUUCCAAGCUGCAGCACAGAGAUGUUGUCACCGAUUGUGGGUACCAAGUUGGGGUGGCCUGUGGGGAGAUGCAUGAAGAGGCAGGAGGGAGACACUCCAAAUUAGAAUAAUAUUGAGGCUAGAAGUGUUAAAAUUUAAGAUUAGGGCUUGUUUGGCUUUGUUUUUCAUCACCAUAAUUCCAGACCAUUUGAUGCUUUUCUUCCAGUUCAGGAAAAACUCUGGUUUUGCCUUCAGAGGAAACACUGGCAGCAGAUCAGACAAACAUCUCCCAAGUGAAAAAAGCAGGAAUCCUAAAAAAGGGACUGUGCCCUUGCCUGGAGGCAGCUGCAUGGACUAAAUCCUCAGGUACACAUGCUAAUCCCCAGGAAAAACAGAGUAACCAGCAGAAACUCUUGCUGCUCAAGCUUGUAG
rnacentral:lncRNA from 1 species